rnacentral:rRNA from 1 species
UACGGAGGAUGCGAGCGUUAUCCGGAUUUAUUGGGUUUAAAGGGUGCGCAGGUGGUUUAUUAAGUCUGGUGUAAAAGGCAGUGGCUCAACCAUUGUAUGCAUUGGAAACUGGUAGACUUGAGUGCAGGAGAGGAGAGUGGAAUUCCAUGUGUAGCGGUGAAAUGCGUAGAUAUAUGGAGGAACACCGGUGGCGAAAGCGGCUCUCUGGCCUGUAACUGACACUGAGGCUCGAAAGCGUGGGGAGCAAACAGG